rnacentral:rRNA from 1 species
GACGAACUCUGGCGGCGUGCUUAACACAUGCAAGUCGAACGAUGAAGCCUAGCUUGCUAGGUGGAUUAGUGGCGAACGGGUGAGUAAUACGUGAGUAACCUACCUUUAACUCUGGGAUAAGCCUGGGAAACUGGGUCUAAUACCGGAUACGACCAAUCUCCGCAUGGGGUGUUGGUGGAAAGCGUUAUGUAGUGGUUAUAGAUGGGCUCACGGCCUAUCAGCUUGUUGGUGAGGUAACGGCUCACCAAGGCGACGACGGGUAGCCGGCCUGAGAGGGUGACCGGCCACACUGGGACUGAGACACGGCCCAGACUCCUACGGGAGGCAGCAGUGGGGAAUAUUGCACAAUGGGCGCAAGCCUGAUGCAGCGACGCCGCGUGAGGGAUGACGGCCUUCGGGUUGUAAACCUCUGUUAGCAGGGAAGGAGAGAGAUUGACGGUACCUGCAGAGAAAGCGCCGGCUAACUACGUGCCAGCAGCCGCGGUAAUACGUAGGGCGCGAGCGUUGUCCGGAAUUAUUGGGCGUAAAGAGCUUGUAGGCGGUUUGUCGCGUCUGCUGUGAAGGCCGGGGCUUAACUCCGUGUAUUGCAGUGGGUACGGGCAGACUAGAGUGCAGUAGGGGAGACUGGAAUUCCUGGUGUAGCGGUGGAAUGCGCAGAUAUCAGGAGGAACACCGAUGGCGAAGGCAGGUCUCUGGGCUGUAACUGACGCUGAGAAGCGAAAGCAUGGGGAGCGAACAGGAUUAGAUACCCUGGUAGUCCAUGCCGUAAACGUUGGGCACUAGGUGUGGGGGACAUUCCACGUUUUCCGCGCCGUAGCUAACGCAUUAAGUGCCCCGCCUGGGGAGUACGGCCGCAAGGCUAAAACUCAAAGAAAUUGACGGGGGCCCGCACAAGCGGCGGAGCAUGCGGAUUAAUUCGAUGCAACGCGAAGAACCUUACCAAGGCUUGACAUAUACUGGACCGCAUCAGAGAUGGUGUUUCCCUUCGGGGCUGGUAUACAGGUGGUGCAUGGUUGUCGUCAGCUCGUGUCGUGAGAUGUUGGGUUAAGUCCCGCAACGAGCGCAACCCUCGUUCUAUGUUGCCAGCACGUUAUGGUGGGGACUCAUAGGAGACUGCCGGGGUCAACUCGGAGGAAGGUGGGGAUGACGUCAAAUCAUCAUGCCCCUUAUGUCUUGGGCUUCACGCAUGCUACAAUGGCCGGUACAGAGGGUUGCGAUACUGUGAGGUGGAGCUAAUCCCUAAAAGCCGGUCUCAGUUCGGAUUGGGGUCUGCAACUCGACCCCAUGAAGUCGGAGUCGCUAGUAAUCGCAGAUCAGCAACGCUGCGGUGAAUACGUUCCCGGGCCU